rnacentral:rRNA from 2 species
UGGGGAAUAUUGGACAAUGGACCAAGAGUCUGAUCCAGCAAUUCUGUGUGCACGAUGAAGUUUUUCGGAAUGUAAAGUGCUUUCAGUUGGGAAGAAAGAAAUGACGGUACCAACAGAAGAAGUGACGGCUAAAUACGUGCCAGCAGCCGCGGUAAUACGUAUGUCACGAGCGUUAUCCGGAUUUAUUGGGCGUAAAGCGCGUCUAGGUGGUUAUGUAAGUCUGAUGUGAAAAUGCAGGGCUCAACUCUGUAUUGCGUUGGAAACUGUAUAACUAGAGUACUGGAGAGGUAAGCGGAACUACAAGUGUAGAGGUGAAAUUCGUAGAUAUUUGUAGGAAUGCCGAUGGGGAAGCCAGCUUACUGGACAGAUACUGACGCUGAAGCGCGAAAGCGUGGGUAGCAAACAGG